rnacentral:lncRNA from 1 species
CAAUGAAUGUUUGGUUCCUUUUAUCUCUUCCUUUAUAACAGAUCAUGUGGAUACAUGACAAACAAAUCGCUUCUAGCAAACUGCUUGAAAUAAGUACUAAGCGUGCAAAACAGAAUAUCAUAUUUUCAUGCUUAUCUACACGGUCGCCAGAGGGCAUCUCAUUUUUAUUUAUUUUGAAGCCAGAUCUCCUCAAUUCUAAACACGAAUUGAAACGAAGGAAACGACUAAUGAGGGGGGCCAGGGACUGACGUCAUCCCAGGCGGCGACGAGGUGCUCAGGCGAGAGGCCCUUGGCGCGCUCGACGUCGAUGAUGGAUUCCAGCGGCUUCGGCUUCAGCGGGGUGAACCCGCUCGCGAACUGGGAGUAACCCCUCCGCUGCGGCCACCGGGAGAGGUCGGCCGGCGAGGAAGAUGGCGCUGCAGAAGCCGCCGCGGGAUGCAGCGCCGGUGUGGCCGGUAUGCCUCCAUGGGCGGCGGCCGGGGCGCGGAGAGCGGCGGCGGCCGGGGCGCGGAGAGCGGCGGCGGCCGGGGGGCGGAGAGCGGUGGUGAUGGCACCGGUGAGCGCGGCGGCCGCGUUGGCGGCGGUCGUCGUGGCCAUGGUGGCGGCGGCUGUCUCGGAGGCGGCGGCGAGGGUUCGGGGCUUGGGGGCGAGUGGCACGGAAAGGGAGAGCCGGGUGAUGCGCGUGGGAGCCUGGCUGUUUUGUGCGCGUGGCGUGAGAGAGAUGUGUGGCUCAGAUGGGAUGGGAGUAGGAAAGCUUCGGCCACACUCGUUCGUCGCCGGGAGCCGUACACGCCAAACACUGACCGGUGGAGCAUGCCGACGUGGGACCGACGUGUCGGCGGUUGUUGGAAAGGUGCUUUCCGCCGCGCGCUGGUACACGAGAGUGUGAGGGACCGACUUUUUUGAAUUUUGGCCCUUUUCGCGAAAAAAUCUGACAAAUAGACCCCUGGUGAAACCAAUUUCGAAAAUGGACUCUUAGCUUGGCGCCAGGAUGGCUGGUGCCAAGGUAUAACGUCUUGGCGCCAGGAGGCAUCCUGGCGCCAAGGUCCCCCCACCGCGCCUCCGACGUGGCGCCGGCCCGCUGACGUGGCGCCGAGGCUUGGUGCCACGAUCUGUGGCGCCCAGGCUUGGCGCCACGAUGCUUGGCGCCAAGCCUUUGCGCCAGCCUCCCUGGCGCCCAGCCUCUUAAUACAAUACCGGGGUCCCUUUCCUUUUGCGCGUCCGUUUGCAUUGUGGUCGUUUCGAAUCGCGCCGCCGCCACCCAACGAAAACCGCCUCCGCCGCCGCCGAUGCCCAGAGGCCGGCCGCCCCCGCCCGGCGCCCGCCCGCCCGAAGCUCCCCGCGUCCGCGCCCGGCCCGAAGCUCCCCGCGGCCGCGCCCCCCCGUCCGGCCGCCGCCCGCCCGAAGGCCCCACGGCCGCGCCCGGCCGCCGCCCGCCCGGCGCCUGAAGGCCCCGCGCCCGCUGCCGGCCGAAGGCCGGCCGGCGGCCGGAGCUGCCCUGGCCGGCGCCCCCCGCGCGGACCCCCGCGGCCGCGCCCCCCCCCCCCAGGACUCAGGGUCGGGCGAAGCGGAGCUUCACUCAGGGUCAGGCGAGGCGGAGUUCCACCCUCAAGGGGUCGGGCGCAUCCGACCCCGGGACCAAGGGUCGGGCGAGGCGGAGUUCCAUGCCGCAGCUAUGUAUACAGGCAAGAACGCAACCUCGAUUCCGAUCCAAGUCGGCCUCGAUUCCGAUCCGAUUCGGCAGCGAACUCUCCUGGCAGUCUGGCCCCGACUCAGCCUCGAUUCCGAUCCGAAUCGGCAGCGGUCGCGGGGCCUUCGGGCGCUGGGCGGGCGGCGGCCGGGCGCGGCCGCGGGGCCUUCGGGCGGGCGGCCACCGGAUGGGGGGGGCGCGGCCGCGGGGAGCUUCGGGCCGGGCGCGGACGCGGGGAGCUUCGGGCCGGGCGUGGACGCGGGGAGCUUCGGGCGGGCGGGCGCCGGCCGAUGGUGGCGCACGCCUUCGGGCGGCCAGGCGUCGGGCGGGGGCGGGUGGGCGGGCGCCGGGCGGGGGCGGCCGACCUCUGGGCGUCGGCGGCAGUUUUCGUCGGGCGGCGGCGGCGCGAUUCGAAACGACCACAAUGCAAACGGACGCGCAAAAGGAAAGGGACCCCGGUAUUGUGUUAAGAGGCUUGGCGCUAGGGAGGCUGGCGCCAGCCAUCUUGGCGCCAAGCCUUGGCACCACAGAUCUUGGCGCCAAGCCUCGGCGCCACGUCAGCGGGCCGGCGCCACGUUGGAGGCGCGGUGGGGGGACCUUGCUGCAAGGAUGCCUGGCGCCAAGACGUUAUACCUUGGCGCCACAUCCUGGCGCCAAGCUAAGGGUCCAUUUUCGAAAUUGGUUUCGCCAGGGGCCUAUUUGUGAGAUUUUUUCGCGAAAAGGGCUAAAAUACAAAAAAGUCGGACCCCUUGAGGGUGGAACUCCGCCUCGCCCGACCCUUAGUCCCGGGGUCGGAUGCGCCCGACCCCUUGAGGGUGGAACUCCGCCUCGCCCGACCCUUUUUCCCGGGGUCGGAUGCGCCCGACCCCUUGAGGGUGGAACUCCGCCUCGCCCGACCCCGAGUGAAGCUCCGCCUCGCCCGACCCUGAGUCCUGGGGUCGGGAGUGUCCGACCCCUGAGCAGAACGUUGGAGUAGUCCGAGGCGAAGUCGAAUCCGACGCGUAGUCGAACUCGAACUGGUUGACUUUGAACGUCUCCUCCUCCUCCACUUCCAGGAGGAGGCUCCCGCCCGUCGAGAAUGGCCACAGCCACGACAGCGCGGCCGUCACCUCCAGGAGGUCCUCAUGUCCACCGACGACAUCCCGCCGUCCUCCGACGUCGACGCAAUCAUCCUCCGAUUCUUACGCCACUUCAGGGACCCGCACGACGCCAGCCGUGUCGACCAGGUAAUGGCCACCGCAUCCUCGAGGCGGCAGCGAAGCGGGCAGCGAUUGGAGUGGAGGCCAGACUGCCAAGAGAGCUCGCUUCCGAAUUGGAUCGGAAUCGAAGCUGACUCGGGGCCAGACUGCCAAGAGAGUUCGCUGCCGAACCGGAUCGGAAUCGAGGCCGACUCGGAUAGAAAUCGAGGUUGCAUUCUUGCCUGUAUAAAUAGCUGCGGGGUUGUGGCCAUGAGCCUAGGACCUCCUUGCCAUCAAGAAACUGCUCAGCAACGCGCGCAGAGAUCACCUCCAUCAACGCCAACACGUGAGCAAGUAAUGACCCGUAGCAACGCACGGGCGAUACGGUCUUCCAUUAGUAGUAAUCUAAGUUUUAGGUUCCGCAUUAUCAAAGAUCCUAGAAAGUAAACUGCAAUAGAAAAACCCUGCACAUUUCAAUGAAUGUUUGGUUCCUUUUAUCUCUUCCUUUAUAACAGAUCAUGUGGAUACAUGACAAACAAAUCGCUUCUAGCAAACUGCUUGAAAUAAGUACUAAGCGUGCAAAACAGAAUAUCAUAUUUUCAUGCUUAUCUACACAGUCGCCAGAGGGCAUCUCAUUUUUAUUUAUUUUGAAGCCAGAUCUCCUCAAUUCUAAACACGAAUUGAAAUGAAGGAAACGACUAAUGAGGGGGGCUAGGGACUGACGUCAUCCCAGGCGGUGACGAGGUGCUCAGGCGAGAGGCCCUUGGCGCGCUCGACGU